rnacentral:misc_RNA from 1 species
AACGCACAUUGCGCCCUUUGGUAUUCCUUAGGGCAUGCCUGUUCGAGCGUCAUUUUAACCCUCAAGCUCAGCUUGGUGAUGGGCGCCUGUCCGCUCCGGCGGACUCGCCUCGAAAACAUUGGCGGCCGGUACGUUGGCUUCGAGCGCAGCAGAAACGCGGUCUCGGAGCCCGGCGGAUCGGCCCUCCACAAGCCACCCCCCAAAUUUUGACCUCGGAUCAGGUAGGGAUACCCGCUGAACUUAA